rnacentral:rRNA from 3 species
AGAGUUUGAUCAUGGCUCAGAUUGAACGCUGGCGGCAGGCCUAACACAUGCAAGUCGAACGGUAACAGGAAGCAGCUUGCUGCUUUGCUGACGAGUGGCGGACGGGUGAGUAAUGUCUGGGAAACUGCCUGAUGGAGGGGGAUAACUACUGGAAACGGUGGCUAAUACCGCAUAACGUCGCAAGACCAAAGAGGGGGACCUUCGGGCCUCUUGCCAUCAGAUGUGCCCAGAUGGGAUUAGCUUGUUGGUGAGGUAACGGCUCACCAAGGCGACGAUCCCUAGCUGGUCUGAGAGGAUGACCAGCCACACUGGAACUGAGACACGGUCCAGACUCCUACGGGAGGCAGCAGUGGGGAAUAUUGCACAAUGGGCGCAAGCCUGAUGCAGCCAUGCCGCGUGUAUGAAGAAGGCCUUCGGGUUGUAAAGUACUUUCAGCGGGGAGGAAGGUGUUGUGGUUAAUAACCACAGCAAUUGACGUUACCCGCAGAAGAAGCACCGGCUAACUCCGUGCCAGCAGCCGCGGUAAUACGGAGGGUGCAAGCGUUAAUCGGAAUUACUGGGCGUAAAGCGCACGCAGGCGGUCUGUCAAGUCGGAUGUGAAAUCCCCGGGCUCAACCUGGGAACUGCAUUCGAAACUGGCAGGCUUGAGUCUUGUAGAGGGGGGUAGAAUUCCAGGUGUAGCGGUGAAAUGCGUAGAGAUCUGGAGGAAUACCGGUGGCGAAGGCGGCCCCCUGGACAAAGACUGACGCUCAGGUGCGAAAGCGUGGGGAGCAAACAGGAUUAGAUACCCUGGUAGUCCACGCCGUAAACGAUGUCUACUUGGAGGUUGUGCCCUUGAGGCGUGGCUUCCGGAGCUAACGCGUUAAGUAGACCGCCUGGGGAGUACGGCCGCAAGGUUAAAACUCAAAUGAAUUGACGGGGGCCCGCACAAGCGGUGGAGCAUGUGGUUUAAUUCGAUGCAACGCGAAGAACCUUACCUGGUCUUGACAUCCACAGAACUUUCCAGAGAUGGACUGGUGCCUUCGGGAACUGUGAGACAGGUGCUGCAUGGCUGUCGUCAGCUCGUGUUGUGAAAUGUUGGGUUAAGUCCCGCAACGAGCGCAACCCUUAUCCUUUGUUGCCAGCGGUUAGGCCGGGAACUCAAAGGAGACUGCCAGUGAUAAACUGGAGGAAGGUGGGGAUGACGUCAAGUCAUCAUGGCCCUUACGACCAGGGCUACACACGUGCUACAAUGGCGCAUACAAAGAGAAGCGACCUCGCGAGAGCAAGCGGACCUCAUAAAGUGCGUCGUAGUCCGGAUUGGAGUCUGCAACUCGACUCCAUGAAGUCGGAAUCGCUAGUAAUCGUGGAUCAGAAUGCCACGGUGAAUACGUUCCCGGGCCUUGUACACACCGCCCGUCACACCAUGGGAGUGGGUUGCAAAAGAAGUAGGUAGCUUAACCUUCGGGAGGGCGCUUACCACUUUGUGAUUCAUGACUGGGGUGAAGUCGUAACAAGGUAACCGUAGGGGAACCUGCGGUUG